GAUGAAGAACGCAGUGAAAUGCGAUACGUAAUGUGAAUUGCAGAAUUCAGUGAAUCAUCGAGUCUUUGAACGCACAUUGCGCCCCCUGGUAUUCCGGGGGGCAUGCCUGUCCGAGCGUCAUUGCUGCCCUCAAGCACGGCUUGUGUGUUGGGCCUCCGUCCUCCUCCCGGGGGACGGGCCCGAAAGGCAGCGGCGGCACCGCGUCCGGUCCUCGAGCGUAUGGGGCUUCGUCACCCGCUCUUGUAGGCCCGGCCGGCGCUUGCCGACACAUCAAUCUUUUUUCCAGGUUGACCUCGGAUCAGGUAGGGAUACCCGCUGAACUUAUGCAUAUCAAUAAGCGGAGGA
rnacentral:misc_RNA from 1 species